rnacentral:rRNA from 1 species
UAAACUAGGAUUAGAUACCCUAUUAUUUUGAGCGUGAAGAACUUAUCCUAGGUAGUAAUAGUUUUCUUUAAACCUAAAGAAUUUGGCGGUGUUUUAUUCUGUUCAGAGGAAUUUGUCCCGUUAUCGAUAGUCCUCGUUUUAUCUUGCUUUAAUUUAUUUAGUAUGUAUACCGCCGUUAUAAGUUUAUUUUUUUAGAAUAUUUACUUUAAAAUGUAUUAAUUUUUAUUUCAG